rnacentral:rRNA from 1 species
UUGAACUGAAGAGUUUGAUCAUGGCUCAGAUUGAACGCUGGCGGCAGGCCUAACACAUGCAAGUCGAGCGGCAGCACGGGUACUUGUAUCUGGUGGCGAGCGGCGGACGGGUGAGUAAUGCCUAGGAAUCUGCCUGGUAGUGGGGGAUAACGCUCGGAAACGGACGCUAAUACCGCAUACG